AGAGUUUGAUCAUGGCUCAGAUUGAACGCUGGCGGCAGGCCUAACACAUGCAAGUCGAACGGUAACAGGAAGCAGCUUGCUGCUUUGCUGACGAGUGGCGGACGGGUGAGUAAUGUCGUAGGGAAACUGCCUGAUGGAGGGGGAUAACUACUGGAAACGGUAGCUAAUACCGCAUAACGUCGCAAGACCAAAGAGGGGGACCUUCGGGCCUCUUGCCAUCGGAUGUGCCCAGAUGGGAUUAGCUUGUUGGUGGGGUAACGGCUCACCAAGGCGACGAUCCCUAGCUGGUCUGAGAGGAUGACCAGCCACACUGGAACUGAGACACGGUCCAGACUCCUACGGGAGGCAGCAGUGGGGAAUAUUGCACAAUGGGCGCAAGCCUGAUGCAGCCAUGCCGCGUGUAUGAAGAAGGCCUUCGGGUUGUAAAGUACUUUCAGCGGGGAGGAAGGGAGUAAAGUUAAUACCUUUACUCAUUGACGUUACCCGCAGAAGAAGCACCGGCUAACUCCGUGCCAGCAGCCGCGGUAAUACGGAGGGUGCAAGCGUUAAUCGGAAUUACUGGGCGUAAAGCGCACGCAGGCGGUUUGUUAAGUCAGAUGUGAAAUCCCCGGGCUCAACCUGGGAACUGCAUCUGAUACUGGCAAGCUUGAGUCUCGUAGAGGGGGGUAGAAUUCCAGGUGUAGCGGUGAAAUGCGUAGAGAUCUGGAGGAAUACCGGUGGCGAAGGCGGCCCCCUGGACGAAGACUGACGCUCAGGUGCGAAAGCGUGGGGAGCAAACAGGAUUAGAUACCCUGGUAGUCCACGCCGUAAACGAUGUCGACUUGGAGGUUGUGCCCUUGAGGCGUGGCUUCCGGAGCUAACGCGUUAAGUCGACCGCCUGGGGAGUACGGCCGCAAGGUUAAAACUCAAAUGAAUUGACGGGGGCCCGCACAAGCGGUGGAGCAUGUGGUUUAAUUCGAUGCAACGCGAAGAACCUUACCUGGUCUUGACAUCCACAGAACUUUCCAGAGAUGGAUUGGUGCCUUCGGGAACUGUGAGACAGGUGCUGCAUGGCUGUCGUCAGCUCGUGUUGUGAAAUGUUGGGUUAAGUCCCGCAACGAGCGCAACCCUUAUCCUUUGUUGCCAGCGGUCCGGCCGGGAACUCAAAGGAGACUGCCAGUGAUAAACUGGAGGAAGGUGGGGAUGACGUCAAGUCAUCAUGGCCCUUACGACCAGGGCUACACACGUGCUACAAUGGCGCAUACAAAGAGAAGCGACCUCGUGAGAGCAAGCGGACCUCAUAAAGUGCGUCGUAGUCCGGAUUGGAGUCUGCAACUCGACUCCAUGAAGUCGGAAUCGCUAGUAAUCGUGGAUCAGAAUGCCACGGUGAAUACGUUCCCGGGCCUUGUACACACCGCCCGUCACACCAUGGGAGUGGGUUGCAAAAGAAGUAGGUAGCUUAACCUUCGGGAGGGCGCUUACCACUUUGUGAUUCAUGACUGGGGUGAAGUCGUAACAAGGUAACCGUAGGGGAACCUGCGGUUGGAUCACCU
rnacentral:rRNA from 1 species